GGUAGGGUUAUAUCUGAACACUAAUAUCUGUCCACUAAAAGUUUGUGUGUGGCUGGCAACUUUGUUCUCUCUUCCACGCAAAUCCACGGUGACCACUAAAGGGAUCUUGAGAACAUUGUGUUCUUCCUCUGAUCCACGUGUGAGGCAAGUGAUUCAUGUGAAUCUCCAACUGUUCGCGGAACUCGGGGUUGGAAAUGGGUUGGUCGUGGCCGGUUUCAUCUAAGCGGUUGUAGACACUGAUCCAGCGGUCGUAAUUGUUGUAGCUGGUGGAGGCGCACGACGGCGAGGAACUCUCUCCGACGCCUUCCAAGUCCAUUUGCCACGGCGCUGCGUUGGUUCUCCAAGCCCGCGACGAGGCCCUCAUGGGCGUGUGCGAUGCGUGGCACGUAUUCUCCGACCCCACACAUAAGGCCUGCUUCGACUGCAAGACCCAACUGGCCACCGCGACCACCACGAUGUUAUUUUGGACAUUGUGGGUUUCUUCAAAUCUGGGAACUUUUUUUAACCUGCAGAAUGAGGUUCUGUUCUUUGGGAUUCAAAUUGGUUCUCAUGUUGAUGUAUUUGUGGCCAACUCAUGAUUGCUGCAUAUGCCAAAUGUGGUGACUUGUGCUCA